GAUGAACGCUGACAGAAUGCUUAACACAUGCCAGUCAACUUGAAUUUGGGUUUUUAACUUAGGUUUGGGUGGCGGACGGGUGAGUAACGCGUAAAGAACUUGCCUCACAGCUAGGGACAACAUUUGGAAACGAAUGCUAAUACCUAAUAUUAUGAUAAUAGGGCAUCCUAUAAUUAUGAAAGCUAUAAGCGCUGUGAGAGGGCUUUGCGUCCCAUUAGCUAGUUGGAGAGGUAACGGCUCACCAAGGCGAUGAUGGGUAGCCGGCCUGAGAGGGUGAUCGGCCACAAGGGGACUGAGACACGGCCCUUACUCCUACGGGAGGCAGCAGUGGGGAAUAUUGGACAAUGGACCGAGAGUCUGAUCCAGCAAUUCUGUGUGCACGAUGAAGUUUUUCGGAAUGUAAAGUGCUUUCAGUUGGGAAGAAACAAAUGACGGUACCAACAGAAGAAGUGACGGCUAAAUACGUG
rnacentral:rRNA from 1 species